rnacentral:rRNA from 1 species
UACGUAGGGUGCAAGCGUUGUCCGGAAUCAUUGGGCGUAAAGAGCGUGUAGGCGGCCUGGCAAGUCUCGCGUGAAAUCUUGCGGCUCAACCGCAAGCGGUCGUGAGAAACUGCCUGGCUAGAAUCCGGAAGAGGAGAGCGGAAUUCCUGGUGUAGCGGUGGAAUGCGCAGAUAUCAGGAAGAACACCCGUGGCGAAGGCGGCUCUCUGGGACGGUAUUGACGCUGAGACGCGAAAGCGUGGGGAGCGAACAGG